rnacentral:rRNA from 1 species
UACGUAGGGGGCAAGCGUUGUCCGGAAUCAUUGGGCGUAAAGAGCGUGUAGGCGGCUCGGUAAGUCCGCUGUGAAAGUCCAGGGCUCAACCCUGGAAUGCCGGUGGAAACUGUCGAGCUAGAGUCCGGAAGAGGCGAGUGGAAUUCCUGGUGUAGCGGUGAAAUGCGCAGAUAUCAGGAGGAACACCAAUGGCGAAGGCAGCUCGCUGGGACGGUACUGACGCUGAGGCGCGAGAGCGUGGGGAGCAAACAGG